GGAGUACGGCCGCAAGGCUAAAACUCAAAGGAAUUGACGGGGACCCGCACAAGCGGUGGAUGAUGUGGAUUAAUUCGAUGCAACGCGAAAAACCUUACCUACCCUUGACAUGUCAGAGAUCCCUGAGAGAUUGGGGAGUGCCGCAAGGAAUCUGAACACAGGUGCUGCAUGGCUGUCGUCAGCUCGUGUCGUGAGAUGUUGGGUUAAGUCCCGCAACGAGCGCAACCCUUGUCGUUAAUUGCCAUCAUUAGGUUGGGCACUUUAACGAGACUGCCGGUGACAAACCGGAGGAAGGUGGGGAUGACGUCAAGUCCUCAUGGCCCUUAUGGGUAGGGCUUCACACGUCAUACAAUGGUCGGUACAGAGGGUUGCGAAGCCGCGAGGUGGAGCCAAUCCCAGAAAGCCGAUCGUAGUCCGGAUCGCAGGCUGCAACUCGCCUGCGUGAAGUCGGAAUCGCUAGUAAUCGCGGAUCAGCAUGUCGCGGUGAAUACGUUCCCGGGUCUUGUACACACCGCCCGUCACACCAUGGGAGUGGGUUCUGCCAGAAGUAGGUAGCUUAACCGCAAGGAGGGCGCUUACCACGGCAGGGUUCAUGACUGGGGUGAAGUCGUAACAAGGUAACCAAGGG
rnacentral:rRNA from 1 species